rnacentral:lncRNA from 1 species
CCAUAGUACUUCUACCAGCAGUAUCUCUGCCUCAAAAAAGUAUACAAUAAUCUACAACCAUUUGUUACUUUGUAUUAAAAGUUACACAUGACAGAAGAAAGAUAGAUAUUUACAAAAUUAUACACAAACCUGUAAGUACAUACAUAAGCUAUCUUAUGACCACAAUUGAAUAAACAAAUUAAAAGGCUGUUGCCUUGAAAAAAAAAUAAAAUUGAAGAAUCAGUUGUGGAAAUUUUCUAAAACCUGAUCAAUUUUCUUAAAAUUAAGUUUUGUUUAUGUUGUACAUGAUCUUACUAUGACAUUCUUUUGCUUUUGAAUAGAAGCUAUGUUCUAAUACCAAUAAAACAUGGGCUACACAUGAUUGACGUCAAAAAUGCAAUUGAAAUUGGAACUUUAUCUGUGAAUUUAACAAUGCCAAGAAUCCAAAAAUUGUUAUCUUUGCAUAUCAUGAUUGAUUUAAAAUACAAUAUAACUGUAAUGGAAUUCAAAUCAUUGGUCAAAUAGAAUAAGAAAAAUUACAUUCACAUGGCCCUCCUUAUAAAUAUAUCUUUGCCAAAUUACACAAACUAAAUGGUCUUAUUACAUUGGUUGAAUUGCAUUACAUAGAUUUCCUAGUGAAAUAAAAACCAAUAAUUUCACAUGUGAAAUAAAUGUGGUUAUUUCACUUCUCUGACAUUAUACAACAAUAGGUGUUGUCAAGACAUGGAUGAAGUUUGAUAAAAACAAAUUGAGAAUGCAUAGAAAAAAGAUAUUGUUUCUUUAAAUACAUUUUCCUUAAAUUUCUUACAAUAUUUAUUUUACAAAUGUAAUAAAAAGAAUAACUGAAUUAGAGAAUUCAAAUAUCGAAAAAUAUUCAACUUGUGACCCAACAACACUGAAAAUUAACUUAUUCACUACUUGCAAUUUGAAUUAAUGUGUUGUUCAGUCACUCUUUGAAUAUUUUUGAUAUUUGAAUUCUUCAAUUAGCUAGUCUAUAAAUAUUGAAACAUUCAGAAGAAUAAACUGUUGACAUAGAGAUGUGUCUCGUCUAUUGGCAUAAAAUUCAAAAAAAGACAGUCUGAUAGACAGCAACAUUGCUUAUUAUUUUAUUGUCACUUGAACAUGAACUAGCAUGCAGGGCCUCAAUAUUGUAGACAAACUGAGAUGUCAAGACAACAAUCAUUUUUAAAGAAAAUAUAUUUGUCUAUUUUUAGUAGUUUCUUAAGCAGAAAACUUAACAAUUGUUGAUGCUGUUGUCAUUGCUGUGGCCAGAAAACCAAAUCAUAUGUCUCACUUUCAGAGAAAAAAAGAUGAAGACCCUACAAUUUUUUUUAAUAAUUCAGAUUUAUUUGUAGUAAAAAAUCAUUUUAUAUUGUUGAAAGAAGCAGGAUUUAAUUGGGUAAGAAGGAUUUGCAAUUAGAAGUCAUUAAAAAACAAAUAAAAUUUUAAACUGUUCCAUGUCACAAAUCAUUUUUAAUCCUUUUACAAUAUUAGAAAUAAGUACACAAUUUUAAAUAGUUUAGAUUGUAUAACUGCUGACACAGGUUUGUUUAAUACAAAAAUCCUGGUAUGAAUAGAAAUUACCUGACUUUGAAACCUUUAUGAAAAUGAUAGAAAUGGAA